UACAGAGGUCCCAAGCGUUGUUCGGAUUCAUUGGGCGUAAAGGGUGCGUAGGCGGCGCGGUAAGUCGGGUGUGAAAUCUCGGAGCUUAACUCCGAAACUGCAUUCGAUACUGCCGUGCUUGAGGACUGGAGAGGAGACUGGAAUUUACGGUGUAGCGGUGAAAUGCGUAGAUAUCGUAAGGAAGACCAGUGGCGAAGGCGGGGUCUCUGGGCCGAUAUCGACGCUGAGGAGCGAAAAGCGUGGGGAGCGAACAGG
rnacentral:rRNA from 1 species